UGCUCGCCCCAUUCUCAUCCACUCCCACGGCCUCGCCCAGCCGCCACGGAGGCUGCUUCAAUCUCUCGUUACGCCUCGCUCCACAUGCCCUUCCUUCCUUCCCUCCUCAAUGCCUACCUUCACUGGUGCGUUCUCGGCUGAGCCAGAGUGGACACUUCAGCACUGGCUCCGCGGCUAUGUUGAGGAGAUCAAAUUGAUGGAUCGAGGGGGCAGGAGGUGGAGGACGGCACGCGGUGGCGGGGAUGGAUGUGCCGGCGAUGGGGACGCUAUUGGGAAUCCGGCGCCAACAGGUCGCGUCGCGGCUCGACGUUCCCGACGGCUGCCCACGGCACACAGGUCGCCCGUGCCCCCGUCGGGCUCCAAGACCGCCACAACGGCGGAAUGGCCCCGCCUCUGUCGACUGGUGUAGUUUGGACAGGAGCAAGUGCGCCAAUCAAUUCUGAUGCGGUGAGAUGCACAGGGAGGCUUGCAUCGGCAAGGCUAGCAGGAGGCCGUGCUCAGGAGGGACCGGAGGUCUGCGCGACGACGACGUAUCUUCACCAAGGAGUUUGGAGGCAAUGCAGCAGUGGUGAAGGCGAUGGUUGUGCCGGGUGCAGGCAGGUGCAGACGGGGUGAAUUGAGUUCAGAUCUUUGAACAAAUGAUUGUGAUUUUGUAGCUGCAGGGUGCUAUUCUUUAUUAUUACUUGGCAUGUGGGACAUCUGAAAACAAUGAAAUACGUCGCCAUUGUGAAGCCUUCUAUAUAACUUCUCAAAGAAAUACCAAAACUAUGGUACGUUUGAUGUUGACCUGGAUUUGCACCAUGCAGAAUAUUGUUUUUACCUUUAGCAGUUACCUAGGUCUUAUACAGAUGAUCAACGCAAUGGAAAAACGACCAUACAUCCGAGACUGAUAGUAGUGGAUGUUAGGGCUGUGCGUUUGCUGCUCGAGAACUGUGUUUGCUGACCUGUGUUGUGGCAGCUAACCAUUUUCCAUCGGAGAUGAACGGAAGUGCAUAAAACCUGCCGCCCAAAGGUGCGCAUCUUCAAGGAUGCUCGCCAAGCGCUGGAGCACGCUGAAGCAGGGUUCGCCGCCCCGACUGAAUCGGGAAUACUCGCCGCCGCCUUGGAACCUUGACGAUGAUUGGUGUUGUAUUUGGAAUGAUUGGAUGAUUCAUAUAAGGCAUUAAUUAUUUUUAAUUGAUUGAUUGUGGCCACGAUCUGAAUAGACAUGUUAGGAAAGUGGUGAUGUGGAAGGAAAUAGUGGAUAGAGAUCGAUUCUGGUACGUGAGGGAAGUAGGCUCAGGAUGGAAAAUAUAACGUGGCGAUGUGAGUUGACGAUGUUUUUUUCCUGCUUAUUUGUCUGACGGGUUCUGCGGGUGGAGAAAAAAUAGGUGGGGAUGGGAAGGCGAACGUGCGAGGUGGAUGCCUUCUAUCGAUGGGAGGGAUGCGAACCAACGAAACAACGUACGGACUGCCACAGAUAUAGAUGCGCGGAUUUUUCCUUAAAUUCUGUUAUUUGUUUCCUUCAAAUUCGUUAUUUUAUCUAUAUCUAUACCUACCUACUUCUUGGUUUCGUCCCGCUAGAUGAUUUUAUCUUUUGUUAAAAAUAUAUCCUAAAUGCUUAAUCGUGCAGCUGCGCGAUUCGGUCGCGCUGAGCGCACGCGCUACCCGACAAGGCCGCUAGAAACCAACCGCUUCACUCUCUUCCUUCUCGAGAAAAAAGCCUUAUCCCAAUCCAAUCCCCUUUUCCUCGUCUACAUUUAGUCCGACCAGUGCUCAGGCGAAGCAUAGGAGCGCCGCCGUCGACGACCUGGCGGUCGUGGAGGAGGCAGUGCACCGGAGGAGCUCGGCGAUCAGGUCGGCCGGGGAGCCGGAGCAGCAGCACUCCCGUCCCCCGUCCACCCAGCGGCCCCCGGCCCCGCAACCCCGUCGAGGAAGGGCCGCAACGGAGCUCACGCCGGAGGGCGACCUUCUGCUCAGGUCAGCUGGCCGCGGUACAGCCGUGUGGUCCGCCGGCACCAAGGGUCGCUCCGCCGCUGUUACGCGCAUCAGCAGCAAAGACAACUUCGUGAGAUAGCCUCUGGCGUGGAGCUGUUCGACCCAGGCAGCGAAUGACAAGUCACCUCACGGUAAUGCCAUCCUCCAAUUCUCAUUCUGCUGCUUGCAAUUGAGAUUGAGCCCCUUGUGUUGGUAGGAUAUGUGUGUGAUGCAUGCUACUUGGCAUAGACUGAUGCAUUGUUUUGCGCAAAUUCGUUGCUCUUUUGGGCAAAUUCGUUGCUCUUCUGGGAGCGUCAGGACAAAAACAUCCAGUUGAUGUUAAGCUUUUGGCAUAAAACAGUGAGUGGUCUGUACAAGGCCACACAGGCCAUGUGUUAAGCCAUUAGCAUAGAACGCAUAUGAUUGUUUCUAUGAAUUGAUUGCGUGUCAUGUUCCA